UUCUGCAGAUAGUUUUAGAUAGGUUAGCUAAAGCGGGCCUUAGGUUGAAUAGGGAUAAGUGCAACUUUUGUAGGCCAGAGAUAAAGUAUUUAGGCUACGUGGUAGACAAGCACGGUCUACACGUAGACCCAGAAAAGGUUGAAGCGAUGGUAAACAUCGAAAGGCCCAAAAAUGUGAAACAGGUUAGGUCAUUUAUAGGUACAGUGUCCUGCUACCGAAGACUUUGCUGAGUUAGUUAGGCCUCUCACCGAAUUAACAAAGAAAAACCGAAAGUUCGAGUGGAACGAAGAUUGUGAACGCAGCUUUAGGGAGGCGAAGGAGCGCCUGGUGACAGCACCCGUUUUGAGCUGUCCAGAUUUUGAGAAGCCUCUCAAAAUCCAGACAGACGCGUCUGAUUUUGAAUAAAAAUUAGAAAAUUUAUUCGACGACAGAGAAGGAGAGUUUAGCGGUCUUUUGGGCGGUCGAGAAAUUGCGUCCAUAUGUUGAAGGCGCUAGGUUUACUGUCGUCACUGACCAUUAUUCUUUGGUUUGGCUGAACAACUUGAAGGAUCCUUGUGGUAGGUUAGCAGGUUGGGCGCUGAAGCUCCAGCAGUAUGACUGAGAUUGUCCACCGGAAGGGAAAGGAACAUGUGGUUCCAGAUAUGUUGUCCCGUAGUGGGCCUGUUGCUUAAGUUUCCACUAGUGACCCCUGGUUGUCGAAGAUGAUUCGGUCUGUAGAAAAGAGACCCUUAUCGUACCCAGCGUGGAGAGUAGAAGACAGCUGCCUCUACAAAUUCGUUAAGUCCAAAUUCCCCUCUAUUUACGGUGAUUCUUCGAAUUGGAAAACGGUUGUUGGUCGAAAGGAGAGGGCUGAGAUUCUGAGUAAAUGUCAUGAUGACCAGUUGGCCGGUCACAUGGGCAUUCGGAAAACUUUCGCUAGGGUUACGCAAAAUUUUUAUUGGCCGCAUGUAAGAUUCGUCAACAGGUGAAACCUGAUAACACACAGCCAGCUGGGGGUUUGUUGAGAGGUCCAAGGAAAUUGCACCUUGGGAAAUAAUAUGUGUUGAUCUGGUAGGGCCCAUGGUGAAGUCGACACAGGGCUACCAGUAUAUUUUAACGGUCGUGGAUUACUUUUCGAAGCUUCCGCUGUUGUUUCCCUUACGGACUGCCAAGGCGAAGCGCGUCUGUAAAAUCUUAGAGGAUCAGGUGUUUCUUUUGUUUGGUGUCCCUCGGCCGGUGGUCUGCGACAAUGGACCCCAGUUCAGGAGUCGCGAACUGCGGGGACUCUGCGGAGCGUAUGGCGUCCAACUGCGGUACACCGCAUACUGUCAUCCGCAGGGUAACCCGGCCGAAAGGAUAAACCAAAUAAUUAAGACUACCCUUAGGGCAUACGUCGCAGAAAACCAAAGGAGUUGGGACCAGAAAUUAGCAAAGGUAGCGUGCUGUAUUAUUAGGGAAAUGGCGUUGGAAGGCAGUAGAAGAUAUAUCGCGUCAUUAGGAGAGUAGAGAGAAUUAAUUGUGAAGAAAGAGUAAAGAGACUCGAAGAGAUUAGGUCUAGCGUUAGAGUGGGGUUAGAGGAGGCCAGUGCCAAGUUAGCAAGAAAUUAUAACCUUAGGAGAAGAGAUGUGCAAUAUAUGCCAGGAGAGUUAGUUUGGAGGAAAAAUUUUGUAUUAUCUGAUGCAGUAACGCGGCGAAGUUAGCGCCGAAAUAUAUAGGACCUUUUAUAGUGAAGAAGAAGGUGUCGCCUUGGACUUAUGUCCUGAUAGACGAGUCAGGCAAGGAUAAGGGGACAUGGAACGUGAAGGAGUUAAGACCAUAUAGGGACAAUUAGGAGAUAGGUAUUUCACAAAAGAAAGCAAGCUUUCUUUGUAAGGAGUUAUGUCCUGGUAGACGAGUCAGGCAAGGAUAAGGGGACAUGGAACGUGAAGGAGUUAAGACCAUAUAGGGACAAUUAGGAGAUAGGUAUUUCACAAAAGAAAGCAAGCUUUCUCUUUAAGGAGGAAGGGGUGGGGUUGUCGCGUACUGGCCGCAAAAAAAUAAACAUUUGCUUCCCCUUCGUUCUAUUUACCCAUUUCCUUUCACUCCAACCGAUGGGAGUGAAGCUUACCGACAAUGACUGCACAUACUUACAUAUGUGCAUAUGUACAAGUAGAUUUCAUGUAGGCUUUACGUGAUUACCUGCCAAAGGCUUUAAUCACGGUGCCCGCAUUAGGCACAACGGAUUAAUUUUUGCAUUAAUCACUGCCCUGAACUGCAAGCACUUUAGUACCAAUUGGCAGUAUGUGGUGGACACACUUACCACCUUGGUAGGGCCGAGGCCUACCUAAACCUCUGACGUUCUCUGGAUCACGACAUCCGGUUGCAAUGCAACUCCACAUUGAACCAUUGCUGGUUCUACCCGCAUUAAGGUAUUAAACCACAGCCACCACGAUACUCCCCAAAGGGGCCGUACCCAUGAACGGACCGGAGUAAUGCUCGCCGGCGAGAUUUGCUGGACUGGCUCAACAAACCCUGACCCACUUAACUGACUCAGCUCACACUAGAACGACUUACACGACUACUUCACUCCACAUUCAUACUCCGUCUUGCUCGUCUCACACGUCCUACUCGCCUCGCUCGUGGGCACCCUCCUCA